UUCUACAGGGUUGGGUUGGGGGAUGGGGGCGGUCACGCUCUUUCUACUGUCCCAGUUCGAUGGCACGGGAGCAUAAACACGGAGAAGGCGACGAGUGAAGAACGGUUACGGAUCACAGGCAAGGCACGUUGGCACACUGAACCCGAAACAACCAGAUUCAAAAGUCACCUAGGCCACCUACCCACUAGCUACGUGACCUCUGGCAUUCGACAUCUCAGAGCGAUAACGGUCCCCGAAGAGUGCAAGAAGGAUCAAAGAAGACAGCACGGGGAUGAAGGUGCUGGCAUGACUCCCGGGGGCUUUCUUCCUGAGCCCCCUCUGGAUCUGCACGGCUGCCCCACCUUGCUCAUCCUCCUCAUCUGGCCACCGCAGCCCCGGAACGACAAUUACUGCGCUGUUCUCUGCAGCCCCGCCGCUGCUUCCCCGAAUUGCCAAUUAGCAUGGUUCUAAGUCUUCAACAUGGCGGACAAAAUGAGCUUCCUCCUCUGCUCCUAGCCCUGUCGGUACUGCUGCCCGCCUGAGGCAAGUUCCUUCUCAUUUCUGGACCACACAGCUGCUUCCUUGGAUGGAAUCACAGACUUCUCCCUUCCCCAGGUCUACUGUACUUGAGGUGUCUCAGGUAAGUCAUUUCCUCAAGGGAAUCUUCCUAACUCCCUUAGGCUAGGUUAGCCUUCCAUAGGCCUAGUGGUUGAAAGUCUGGCUCCCUUACUGGAAUAGAAACCUCCUGAGAGUAGGGGUGCUUCUGCUUGACUCGUCACUGGAUACCUGGGGCAGAGCUACAACCGGAGAGACUAAGGCAGAGGGUAAAGAGGGUGGCGGCACCCUUGGGUCAUAGCCUAGGGCUCUCUCUGCUCAGGACCCAGAGACUCCGCACUUGGGGGUCUCAUGUCCAGUUGAGCCACCGACGUUCCAGGAAGUUCAUGUGAGCGCAGGCCAACAGGUCACAGGGACACAUAGGACCUCUCGGCCAGGUGGCCUCCCCCUGCAAAUGGGAGGGAUGU
rnacentral:lncRNA from 1 species